rnacentral:misc_RNA from 1 species
AAGUCGUAACAAGGUUUCCGUAGGUGAACCUGCGGAAGGAUCAUUAAUGCUUUAGCGGGUGUGUUGCGGCCCUCGAGGCCCCGUGCAUUCGCUGCACGGGAACAAGCUCCGGGAGGUGUAGGGUUCCCACGUGGGGGCCCUUUCACGCGCACAUGACUGAAUCCUUACUUUACUCGUACCUCUCGUUCUCCUUCGGCGGGGCAGCCUGCCGUUGGAACAGCCAAAACUCUUUUUUUUUUGCAUCCAGCAUUACCUGUUCUGAUACAAACAAUCGUUACAACUUUCAACAAUGGAUCUCUUGGCUCUG